ensembl:lncRNA
GAGUCAGGAGACCAGGUGCAUAAAUCUGACUCGAUCGUGGAUCACUGUCAUCAGAUGAGCCGGUCCGUCACGAAAACCGACAGCGCUGCGUGUAAGUGCGCCUUAAAAAUGACGGUGACUUAUUAAAACGUUCUUAAACGAUGCUUUUUGGCUAGCAGCGUACUUUUCACAAGAUUUGCUUCCUAUUUUAGGAAAUGUAGACAAAUACAGAUAGUAAUAAUCUCAACUUUGAAUUACUGUUCAUAAAAAUUACAUCCAGUACAUCAUUAGAAGUGCUACAGGUAUACGCGUGUGGCUAGAAAGUGGGACUAUAUUUUUUACAUAUUAGCUUAAUUCGAUUACAGCUUUAAUUUGCUCACUGCGUCAUAGCAAAUGUAGCCUAAACGCAGGUAAACAGAUUUCUACCGUAGUUUUUUGUUUUUUUGGGGGGGGUUUUUUAAGAAAGAAAGAAAAAAAAGUUGUAUGUCAGCUUGCUGCCACGCGGGCCUGUCAGGCCAUUUGUCAGGAACUCAAUAAAUUUGUCAGUGGAGGAGGAAGAGAAAAAAAGCAGAAUUCAAUAAAUCAUAACAUAAACAAAUCUAGCCAUGAGUUGACAGUGCUGUAUUAUACUUUGGCUUAAUCCUCGGGGAGCUGGGAUUAUCCUGCACUGGGCUAUCAUUUUUGGGGGUGGUGGUGAUGGCGGGGCUGCCUCAAUAAAAUAAGAAAGGCCGUGUGGUUCAAUGUGGAGUAAAAAGCGGGAAAAUGUGACAGAGUGGGUAGAAAGACAGUUCAAAUGACUCCUUUGUUAUCCUGCAUGGUAACAUUUAUGUAACUACACCAACGAUUUGAAGAAUAGUAUUUAAAAUAAUGGCAUGUAAAAUACAAAUAAAUAACUAAAUAAAUAUUUAAAAGUGAGGUAAAUUUAGUAGUCCUAUAUCCCGGCUCUCACAGGCCGAUGGGGCCCUGGGCUGUCUCACUGUUUGUUGUUGCAGUGGUUCACUGACUGUUCACUGUCUGAAAUCACAUUAUAGCUGCAUGAAUUUUUUUAGCCCGUGAAACCAACGAAGAAGUGCAGAAAACAUUCAGUAUCCCAAAUUAAUUUACCGCUGAUUGAUCGGAAAUUGACGCUCAAACCUUUAUAAUAAUCCUCCCUGUUGAUCCACGAGGCUCAGCCUGUCCGUUGACUUGAUGGGGAGAAAAAACAACAAUUUUUUUUAAGUGAUCUCCCUCUGAAACUCUGUCACAGCCACAGUAAUGGCCAAAAAGACAAAAGAAGAAUAUGACACAUUUCUUCCCCAAGUUCGCUGAAUCUCUCUAGGCUCAGAAACUGCCCGCUGCUGCUCAAUGUGAAGGUUUUGUAGGUGUUGAAGUGCAGAUCGGCAGCACCAACAAAAAAAAUAAAGGAAGUGUGUGUGUGAGCGUUUUUUUUUUCAUUCGAGUUUAAAAAAAAGGGGGCAUCGUGGAGAGCUUAGACUCAUUAAAAGAUCAAAGUGAGUUAACUAUCAAAGUCUUCAAGCCCUGCAAUUUAGGGAGCCAUUAUGGCUUUGGUUUGCUACCUCUGAGGAUGUGAAAUGCUCGUCCCAAUUUCGCUGAGGUGUUUUAUUUAUUUUUCUAAAGAAAAAAAAAUCUUUUCGGCGAGCUUUGUUUUAGGAAUAAUUAAUAAUAUGAGCGUUUUAGUAUAAAUGAGCCUAUAAUGGUAAAGAAAAGGGGGGAUUAGAUGAGGUGCAGCGCAGUAUUACCGGCCCACACAUGCGGGGUGAUAUGGAUUAUAGUUUUACGUUUUAAAGGUGAGACUUUGCGUCGCUGCAUUGAUUGUAGCCUCCGGGUUUAAGCAGAGCAGGCCGGGCACUGCUGGAGUUAUCCUCUGAGCUGGAAACUGAAUGAAUUGUGAGCGCCUCCCAAAAACACACCGCAGUGUAAAUGUAAUUAAAGCAGAACGAUUGUCCGUAUUUUUUGUGCCCAUAUUUCAGUUUUAUUAAAUUUAAAACGGUGUUUUAAUUUAAUGAAAUUAUCGUAAUUAUUUCGUUCCCUUUCCUGCAGUAGGCUUUCUCUUCUCUUUUUUUAAUCGGCCUACACUGAUUAAUUAUGAUACAUUAAUUUUACUCCUGCGAGUGGGCUGUAUUUAUUUCCUUUCUUCCUUGUGCACUUUCCUUAUAUAUAUAUUUUAAAUUCUGCCUUAAUGAAAUUGAAAAGUUUGACUUUAAAGAAGGCAAAAGUUUGCGCAAAAACCGCAGUUUUAUUUUGCUUCAAAGAAGAAAAAAAACUUUCCUUCCGCGAUAAUUCCAGUGUGGAAUCACGUUUUUGCUACUUCCCCAAUUGAAAUGAAAAUUAUUAUUAAAAUUAUUAUUUAUUUAUUUUAAUGUUUUUACUUUCAGAAUUAUUAAGUGAAGCCUGAAACCAGAAUUACAGCGAACUCCUGCAGGAACGUUAGCCUCUCUGAGGGCGCAUUAUAAUGAUCUCUUACCUUUCCGAUGGACGUAACAGUUCUGCUUAGCUUAAAGUAAAUUGCCUAACUUUAGGGACCAUUGCUUUCUGUUCUGCACACCUGCUGCAACGUUUUUUUCCGCCCUGGAAGGCGAGGGAGGGCUUGUCAUGUAGUGCCUCAUUAAAACACCGCAGGCUGAAAGUCGGCGGAUUGAUUUAUUGAAUGAAUGUUUGAUGUCCUCAUUCACGCGAGUGACCUGGCCGAUAACUGCUAAAUGAAUGGAGGGAGGAGAGGUAUCACAUGCUUUUCUUCCUUUCCUUUUCUUUAAAUGUAUUGAUUAUAUUGUAUUGGUAGUCCUCCGCUCCUAAUGCUGCUUAGUGGUAAGAUAAUCCAAUAUAGUGGGCGGAGGUAAUUGACCCCAUGUUGAUAGAAGCGCUGGAAGGAAACCAAGCAAACCGGGGGUGGAUGACUUCAUGAGUGGCAGUGAUCGGCAGCUGUUCUCUUGUUGAACAGCAGAGGGCAACGCCAACAAUCUCUUCUCUGUUUCACCAAACUGGGCUACAGGUCAUCGCCUUGAUGCUUCACAAAGGCUGUAAGAAACAACACACAGCAGGCCUUUGGACUGAAGGUAAACACUGGCUGUGGAGAUGUGAUAUACUGACAUAUGAUUUUUUUUUUUCCUGAGAGGAAAUAUUGCAUUAAAUUAUGUAAAAACAAAUACCUGUUUAUUUGCACAGUUUACUUAAAAAUAUAUUGUUAUUAUUAUUAUUACGUGGAACCGUUAUGACACUUUAAAUAAAGUCCACAAAAAGCUAUAGCUCACCCCAGUAUAAUAUAAAUAUAAUAUUUACUAUAAUAUAAUAUUUACUGUUCCCCGGCCUUCUCCAUGUGUCCACUCUUUUUUUUGCCUACCCGGGGUGUGUAGCUAUAGAAGUAUAUUACAUUGUGCCACGCAGCGUGUCACGG